UGUCUAAUAGUGUAAUGGCAACACGUCUGACUCUGGAUCAGAAGAUUCUAAGUUCGAAUCUUAGUUAGACAA
rnacentral:tRNA from 1 species